UCAGUCGUGGUAUUGCCGGCCCGAGACUCGAACCUACAAUCUUAGGGUUAGGAGUCAAACUCUCUAACCACUAGGCCACAACUUCCACACAAUAGCCAUGUAAUGCAAGAGUUAAGUAAUGCCACAACUUCAGAUAAUCUUUUCUCCUGACAAAAUCAAGUAGUAAAACACUGGUUGUGACAAGAAAUUUGGUUAGUGAACUAUUUUGUCACCCUAGUCUCAUGUAACUAAGUAACGAGCUGUUUUAUGGAUGGUAACUGUAAUAUUAUUACUGAAAUCUUAUUAGUAAUUAGUUACACUACUAGAUACUGCAAAAAGUAAUAUUGCUGCAACUAGUUACUAAUAACUAACUAGCUACUGCCCAACAUUGGUUGCGUCAAGAAAAUUGGUUAGUAAACUAUUUUGUAACCCUAGUCUCAUGUAAACAUGUAUACCGUUCAAGUCAAGGACUUAACUUUCAAAACACCUACAUUUACACUGCACAUUGCCUUGCACUAUUGACUUCCACUGUAAAUGCAUUACGGUUAACACGUUUUUGGCUUGUUUUACAAAUUGAGAAAUGACACAGUAGUCAAUUUUCUGUUUGAUGCUGUCAAUAGAGUUUAACAUGUAUUGAUCCCAGUUCAUUCCCUUAACACUUUGGAGCAAAGCCAAUUGCCAUUUUAACUGUGAAACAGUUACUUCCAUUCUAAAGAUAAUCGGCUACAGCUGAAUCUGGGCAUCAAAACUUCCUAGAACUUUUCUUGGAACACAAUUCAACGUCUUCCCCUUCUAGAAACUUGUUUUCUCUCUUGCGAUGUUGUUGUUGUUGUGUUUAAACAUGACACUGAAUUGCAUCAGCCCAACUCAAAUUGGCCAAUGUGAAUGAGAAUCAAAUUACUCCCUAAACUUUCAUGCCAUCACAUCCGAUUCUUUCACGGCACGCACAUGUACAAGUCUCAACAUACAGACUAGAUCGAGUCGAUCACUCCUGCCAUAAGUCGGCCAGAUAAACUUCAGCCUGAGCUGGUUUCUACCUGCUCCAUCUCUGUGUGGGAGUUUGCUGACCCAUUGUCACAGUUGUGUGUUUGACUGAACGUGUGUACUACUCCAGAUGUGUACUGCUGUGCACUUUGCCUGGUUGUGCAACCAGCAUGAAUCAUUGGGCAACAGGUCAUAAAAAUAGUUAUUCAAAGGAGCACCACACAAGACACUGGACUUUAGAGAACUUCACUGGAAACGUUGCACAGCUGUACCUGCGCAAUGUGCGUGUGUGUGUGUGUCAACAGUUUCAUUACCGGGAGAAACAGAUGCAGCGCAUUGAAACAGAGAACGAGAAGACAAGAGAGAGAGAGAGUGAUGUGAUCGCUCAUUUGAUGAGGGGAAACAGCAAUGAACACUUGUCUGCUCUCUUUCUAGCACCUGCUUGUCAAUGUGGCUGAAUGGAUAGUGAGAGAGAGAGGAGAGAGAGCCGGAGUGUGACUGUAUUGGUGGUCCCGGGGCAGGUGCUUUCUGGGUCACGGGGCGGUUGGAGCUUUGGAGGGAUGCCUGUAUGUCUUUAAAUGCUGUAAGACCUGUGAAAGAGGCUGUUGGGGUGAACAGUGGGUUAUCCAAGUUAAGAACUGCAGAGAAAUCUACAGCACCUGGUUUUCUAAUUGGAUCUGGUAAGUUUCACUAUCAGUGAUUAGAAUCGACAUAACUGAUAAGACUAGUGUUUACGGAUGGGUUUAUUACCAGGUUCACAUGUAGUCUCUAUCCACAGAAUGCAAUUUCCAUAGAAUUGUGAUGUCUGUUAUUUAGACCAGAAGUAUUCAAAUAUUUUGACCCCUGAAUAUGAUACAUAUAAUUUUUUCAUGCAAGGUUCAUGCAAAGACUAUUUUGUACUAUGUGAGAGAAAAAGAUGCUAUAUUUUGAAGUUUGAAGUCAUCAAAUUACCUCCAAAAUAAUGUUUUACUGU